rnacentral:rRNA from 1 species
UACCUGGUGCGCUUUACGUGCGUAAACGAACAAGGGAGCCCGUACGGAUAUUACAGCCUGGUUUUUUUUACAGGCAGGGGCCUAAACAUUCGAGCGAACUGGGCUGGAGUCUGGNAUAACUGCUGGAAACUGUAGCUAAUACCGGAUACGACACCUUGGGGCAUCCCGAGGUGUGGAAAGAAUUUCGGUCAAGGAUGAGCUCGCGGCCUAUCAGCUUGUUGGUGAGGUAAAAGCUGGGGGGGGCGACGACGGGUAGCCGGCCUGAGAGGGUGACCGGCCACACUGGAACUGAGAUACGGUCCAGACUCCUACGGGAGGCAGCAGUGGGGAAUAUUGCACAAUGGGCGCAAGCCUGAUGCAGCAACGCCGCGUGAGGGAUGAAGGCCUUCGGGUUGUAAACCUCUU